rnacentral:misc_RNA from 1 species
UUACCGGCGUACAGCCGCUAGCAAAAAUGUUUUGCUAGCAGAAAUUUUCUUAUCGGUUUCAUACGAAUAUCUUCCCUAAAUUAGCUCGUGUACACUUAUUUCGUGAAUACUAUGACGUUUUUUCGGUAUAUUUCUGAGGGUCAGACCGUAGAUGUUGACAAUAAAUCCGCGGUCACACUGCUAGACUGCAUUCAUCAAUUAUUUAUUAUGGCAUUUCUCCGAUUUUCAAAUGUUUGCUAAAUAAUUUGAUUGAAGCCACCGCAGGAUAUCUAAUGAAAGUGCUGAUCACGUGCCCGCUACGAGAGCUAUUUACUCAGUGCAAUAAAAUCGCAACCAAGGACGGGGGAAAACCGCAAGCCAGACAGACAUUUUCUCCCACUUUACAAGCGCCUAGAGAGACGCCGAAUAUUCCGCAACACCGCAAGAGGGACAGAGUCUUCCGCAAAGAAACAUGAAAUGGACAAUGCCCUCGGCCAUUAGCGGCGCUCCGCACGGCCAAGUGCACAUACCCAGCAACGAGGAGUGCGGCAUCCGAGACGUGUGGAAACAUAACCUGGAGGAGGAGUUUCGCACCAUACGCAAGGUCGUGCAGAAAUAUCAUUAUGUGGCCAUGGACACAGAGUUUCCCGGCGUAGUGGCGCGACCCGUUGGCGAAUUUCGAUCCACCGCCGACUAUCACUAUCAGUUGCUGCGCUGCAAUGUGGAUCUGCUGAGGAUCAUUCAGCUGGGUCUGACCUUUAUGGACGAUGAUGGCAAGACGCCUCCAGGAUACUCCACGUGGCAGUUCAAUUUCAAAUUCAAUCUAAGUGAGGACAUGUAUGCCCAGGACUCGAUCGAUUUGCUGCAAAACUCUGGAAUACAGUUCAAGAAGCACGAGGAGGACGGCAUCGAUCCAAUUGAAUUUGCCGAGCUGCUCAUGAGCUCGGGCAUUGUGCUGGUAGACAACAUCAAGUGGCUGUGCUUUCACUCUGGCUACGAUUUCGGCUACCUGCUCAAGCUGCUCACUGACCAGAAUCUGCCCUGCGACGAGGCUGACUUCUUCGAGCUGCUGCACAUCUACUUCCCCAACAUCUUUGACAUCAAAUAUCUGAUGAAGUCGUGCAAGAAUCUAAAGGGAGGCCUUCAGGAAGUGGCCGAUCAGCUGGAACUGCGUCGGGUCGGACCCCAACAUCAGGCUGGCUCUGAUGCCCUGCUCACUGGCAUGGCAUUCUUCAAAAUGCGUGAGAUCUAUCUUGGCGUAAAUUUCGAAAAAAUGCAUUUUUUGUAUACUUAUUACGGCGUUGGCUUUAGUCCUUAAAUAAUAACCAAAGACUGCAGAAUUGUACACUAUUAUACGAUACCCUCAAGACUAAAAGAUACAAAUUAUUAAAACAAGAAAUAAUCAGAUCAGAUCGGUAAACGAUGUUCUUUGAAGACAAUAUCGACCAUGCCAAGUAUUCAGGACAUCUGUACGGCCUGGGCACCUCGUUCAUCGUGAACGGCAACAACUUCCAC